rnacentral:rRNA from 1 species
GGUUAAGCGACUAAGCGUACACGGUGGAUGCCCUGGCAGUCAGAGGCGAUGAAGGACGUGCUAAUCUGCGAAAAGCGUCGGUAAGGUGAUAUGAACCGUUAUAACCGGCGAUGUCCGAAUGGGGAAACCCAGUGCAAUUCGUUGCACUAUCGUUAACUGAAUACAUAGGUUAACGAGGCGAACCGGGGGAACUGAAACAUCUAAGUACCCCGAGGAAAAGAAAUCAACCGAGAUUCCCCCAGUAGCGGCGAGCGAACGGGGAGCAGCCCAGAGUCUGAAUCAGCUUGUGUGUUAGUGGAACGGUCUGGAAAGUCCGACGGUACAGGGUGAUAGUCCCGUACACCAAAAUGCACAGGCUGUGAACUCGAAGAGUAGGGCGGGACACGUGGUAUCCUGUCUGAAUAUGGGGGGACCAUCCUCCAAGGCUAAAUACUCCUGACUGACCGAUAGUGAACCAGUACCGUGAGGGAAAGGCGAAAAGAACCCCGGCGAGGGGAGUGAAAAAGAACCUGAAACCGUGUACGUACAAGCAGUGGGAGCACCUUCGGGUGUGACUGCGUACCUUUUGUAUAAUGGGUCAGCGACUUAUAUUCUGUAGCAAGGUUAACCGUAUAGGGGAGCCGCAGGGAAACCGAGUCUUAACUGGGCGUUAAGUUGCAGGGUAUAGACCCGAAACCCGGUGAUCUAGCCAUGGGCAGGUUGAAGGUUGGGUAACACUAACUGGAGGACCGAACCGACUAAUGUUGAAAAAUUAGCGGAUGACUUGUGGCUGGGGGUGAAAGGCCAAUCAAACCGGGAGAUAGCUGGUUCUCCCCGAAAGCUAUUUAGGUAGCGCCUCGUGAACUCAUCUUCGGGGGUAGAGCACUGUUUCGGCUAGGGGGUCAUCCCGACUUACCAACCCGAUGCAAACUACGAAUACCGAAGAAUGUUAUCACGGGAGACACACGGCGGGUGCUAACGUCCGUCGUGAAGAGGGAAACAACCCAGACCGCCAGCUAAGGUCCCAAAGUCAUGGUUAAGUGGGAAACGAUGUGGGAAGGCACAGACAGCCAGGAUGUUGGCUUAGAAGCAGCCAUCAUUUAAAGAAAGCGUAAUAGCUCACUGGUCGAGUCGGCCUGCGCGGAAGAUGUAACGGGGCUAAACCAUGCACCGAAGCUGCGGCAGCGACACUAUGUGUUGUUGGGUAGGGGAGCGUUCUGUAAGCCUGCGAAGGUGACCUGUGAGGGUUGCUGGAGGUAUCAGAAGUGCGAAUGCUGACAUAAGUAACGAUAAAGCGGGUGAAAAGCCCGCUCGCCGGAAGACCAAGGGUUCCUGUCCAACGUUAAUCGGGGCAGGGUGAGUCGACCCCUAAGGCGAGGCCGAAAGGCGUAGUCGAUGGGAAACAGGUUAAUAUUCCUGUACUUGGUGUUACUGCGAAGGGGGGACGGAGAAGGCUAUGUUAGCCGGGCGACGGUUGUCCCGGUUUAAGCAUGUAGGCUGGUUGUCCAGGCAAAUCCGGAUAAUCAAGGCUGAGGUGUGAUGACGAGGCACUACGGUGCUGAAGUAACAAAUGCCCUGCUUCCAGGAAAAGCCUCUAAGCAUCAGGUAACAUCAAAUCGUACCCCAAACCGACACAGGUGGUCAGGUAGAGAAUACCAAGGCGCUUGAGAGAACUCGGGUGAAGGAACUAGGCAAAAUGGUGCCGUAACUUCGGGAGAAGGCACGCUGGUGUGUAGGUGAAGUCCCUGCGGAUGGAGCUGAGACCAGUC